rnacentral:rRNA from 1 species
GCUUCCAAGAAAAGCCCUAUACCCGUUAAGGCAUGAUGGCCUGUACCCGAAACCGACACAGGUGGGGUGGUAGAGAAUACCGAGGGGCGCGAGGUAACUCUCUCUAAGGAACUCGGCAAAAUGGCCCCGUAACUUCGGGAGAAGGGGUGCCACCGCGAGGUGGUCGCAGUGAAGAGGCCCAGGCGACUGUUUACCAAAAACACAGGUCUCCGCUAAGUCGCAAGACGAUGUAUGGGGGCUGACGCCUGCCCAGUGCCGGAAGGUUAAGGAAGCUGGUCAGCGCAAGCGAAGCUGGCGACUGAAGCCCCGGUGAACGGCGGCCGUAACAAUAACGGUCCUAAGGUAGCGAAAUUCCUUGUCGGGUAAGUUCCGACCCGCACGAAAGGCGUAACGAUCUGGGCGCUGUCUCGGAGAGAGGCUCGGCGAAAUAGAAUUGUCUGUGAAGAUGCGGACUACGUGCACCCGGACAGAAAGACCCUAUGAAGCUUUACUGUAGCUUGGUAUUGUGCUCGGGCUCGGAAUGCGCAGGAUAGGUGGGAGGCUUUGUUCCAUUGCUUGCGGGUGAUGGUGAGCCACUGGUGAGAUACCACUCUUUCCGAGCUAGAGUUCUAACAGCAACCCGUUAUCCGGGUGCUGGACAGUAUCAGGUGGGCAGUUUGACUGGGGCGGUCGCCCCCUAAAAGGUAACGGAGGCGCGCAAAGGUCUGCUCAGGCUGGUUGGAAAUCAGCCGACGAGUGUAAAAGCAGAAGCAGGCUUGACUGUGAGACCUACAAGUCGAACAGGGAGGAAACUCGGCUUUAGUGAUCCGACGGCUCUGCGUGGAAGGGCCGUCGCUCAACGGAUAAAAGUUACUCUAGGGAUAACAGGCUGAUCUCCCCCAAGAGUUCACAUCGACGGGGAGGUUUGGCACCUCGAUGUCGGCUCAUCGCAACCUGGGGCUGAAGUCGGUCCCAAGGGUUGGGCUGUUCGCCCAUUAAAGCGGUACGCGAGCUGGGUUCAGAACGUCGUGAGACAGUUCGGUCCAUAUCCGGUGCACGCGCAGGAAUAUUGAGAGGAUUUCUCCCUAGUACGAGAGGACCGGGAGGAACGCACCUCUGGUGUGCCAGUUGUCGUGCCAACGGUAAACGCUGGGUAGCCAUGUGCGGAGUGGAUAACCGCUGAAAGCAUCUAAGUGGGAAGCCCACCUCAAGAUGAGUAUUCCCACGGCAUAAGCCAGUAAGGUCACGGGAAGAACACCCGUUGAUAGGCUCUACGUGGAAGCGCAGUAAUGUGUGAAGCGGAGGAGUACUAAUAGACCGAGGGCUUGACC